rnacentral:rRNA from 1 species
GACGAACGCUGGCGGCGUGCUUAACACAUGCAAGUCGAACGGAAAGGCCCUGCUUGCCGGGUACUCGAGUGGCGAACGGGUGAGUAACACGUGGGUGAUCUGCCCUGCACUUCGGGAUAAGCCUGGGAAACUGGGUCUAAUACCGGAUAGGAGCCAUUUUUAGUGCGAUGGUUGGAAAGUUUUUUCGGUGUAGGAUGAGCUCGCGGCCUAUCAGCUUGUUGGUGGGGUAAUGGCCUACCAAGGCGGCGACGGGUAGCCGGCCUGAGAGGGUGGACGGCCACAUUGGGACUGAGAUACGGCCCAGACUCCUACGGGAGGCAGCAGUGGGGAAUAUUGCACAAUGGGCGCAAGCCUGAUGCAGCGACGCCGCGUGGGGGAUGACGGCCUUCGGGUUGGAAACUCCUUUCGCUAGGGACGAAGCUUUUUGUGACGGUACCUAGAGAAGAAGCACCGGCUAACUACGUG